CGACGUCACUAGCUGAGUGUAGGAAACUCCGAAAUUAUGUCUUGGCUGUGAUCCUACACACCACAUCCUUUCUGAAAAUGUUUAUUCAAAUAUCAGACAUAAAAUGGGUUGCUAUUAACUGAAGCCUACUAACCGACACUUUAAGAAGACUUCGCUCCAGUUUUUCAGUUUACCUGUUGGUGAUCCAGACAGGCUUGGUGCUGGAGAGGGCUCUGGACUCCUAACUUCACUUCUCGUCUUUGCAGUCGACUCAGAAGCAUCACUUCAGUACUGAUUCCGUGGUACUUUGAAAUUUUUCAUACAUUUAAAUGGAGCAACCUACUGGAUUCAAUAGGCCUAGCUGUCUAUUCCAGACAUGGUUAGCAUACUGAACAAACAUGAAUGCAUUUCAGACAUUUAGAGUGGCCUUUUAUUGUGAGCAGUCCGGGGCACAUCUGUGCAAUAAUUAUCAUGACUUCUUUUGAUAAGUCACACAUGGAAAGUAGCCUUUAAAUCAGCAGGUUUUGGUUGGAUACAGAUUGGAUAAUUAAAGAAUAUGGCAUCAGUGACUGGCUAUUGUUUGACUGGACCUUGGCCUAACUGUUAAUAACUACCUCAAUGGGGUGUAGAUAUGAGCUUACACUGUUCCACUGAAAACAUUAAAAUACAAGAAAUGGUUGUUCUACAGAACUUUUAAUACACCAAAUUUGGUUUUGCUUAUUGCCUGCAUAAACAGGACAUGUGCAAAUAGUUGAAUACGCCUGUCCUGUCCCCAUUCAGCUAAGUGUUCUAUCUGGAACAUUUUGAAAUCCUACCAGAUGGGGCACAAGUCAUUGAGCAGUGGCAGCUUCUGACUUAAAAGACUUUGUUCACCAGCAGACCCCUUGAUUACCUUUAUUUACAGCAUUUGCAUCUGUCAGUCUUUAAAGUGAUCUAAUAUGUAUUGACUAUGUACUAGCUUAGUACAUAUUAGUUUUUGUUAUUUUAGUUUCACAAAUUCAGUGGUUACCUGUAAUGCUCAAGAUAUACAAGUAAAAAAUCACCUUUA